UCCUCGUCACGCGGGAAGCUCCCCGCGGCCGCACGUGCAGUGGAGCCGAAGCUCCGCCCCCCCGCCCCCUGCCCCUGAGCCGCCGCCGGGCUGCCUCCUUGUCUGCCCGCCGAGAUGGCGCUCGACCCCGCAGAACAGCAUCUCAGACAUGUCGAAAAAGAUGUUUUGAUCCCUAAAAUAAUGAGAGAGAAGGCCAAAGAGAGAUGUUCUGAACAAGUUCAAGAUUUUACCAAAUGUUGCAAGGAUUCCGGAGUCCUCAUGGUAGUAAAAUGCCGGAAAGAAAAUUCUGCACUGAAAGAUUGUCUAACUGCUUACUAUACUGAUCCAGCCUUUUAUGAGGAGUGCAAAAUGGAAUACCUCAGAGAAAGGGAAGAAUUCAGAAAAACCGGAAUUCCUGCUAAGAAUAGGCUGCAGAAGCUUCCCACGAGCAUGUAGGCAAAUGUUUCAAUGACACUCAGGAACUCUCAUACAGAAGGCACAGUCACUGGUAUUAAUGGAAUCACUGGCUAAUCACAGAAACCAAAAGCAACUAAAGGAAAGCAGGAACAGACAGCCUUCAGAGGUGCUGAUAACUAGACAGUAUAGCAGAAUGGACAGGAAACCCUGGUGGCGUAGUGGUUAAGUACUAUGGCUGCUAACCAAGAGGUCAGCAGUUCAAAUCCACCAGGCAUUCCUUGGAAGCUCUGUGGGGCAGUUCUACUCUGUCCUAUAGGGUUGCUAUGAGUCGGAAUCGACUCAACAGCAGUGGGAUAGCAGCGUGAUGAACUCAAAUCCUGCCUGGUUCUACCACUUUUUACCUAUGCAACCAUGGAUUAAGAGUCUCACACAGUUGUAAGGGUUUACUGAGCAUUGCAGGUAAGUUAAGUGCAUAGUCCAGUGCUUCAGAUGUGCUAAAUGCUCUUUGUCAGUCAUUAGCAGUAGUAGGAAAGCCUGAUUUAGAAACAUAAAUAAGAUACUUACGUGAAUUAAUUUUACUUAUGUCUUUGCAUUAUGACGUUCCUUGACCUGUAACUUAGCUACUGAAAAUGUUUUAACCUUUCAUUUUAAAAGGUCUUGUUCACAAACUAGAAUUACCAUUUUGUAACACAGUAAUGGUCUCAAUAGUUUAAAAAAUUUCUGCCCUGAUGCAGUAGUUCAAAGUUGCUCUUCUUCCCCAUUAACUCACAUUCACCACAGCUAUUAUACCUGCUUUUAACCAGUUUCAAAAUUGGUAAAUUUUACGCAUACACAGUUCUCACCAAAAUCACAGAAGUUACUGCACAGUAGGACGAGAUUUAACUUUGGCCCCAUUUCCAUGAAAUUGAUAUGAGAGAUUAUUUUUUAUAAAGAACUUAGUUAAAGCAAAUAGGAUCUUGAAGGACCAAUGGCUGUUCAAGUUGCACAUUUUACUCCUUAGUGAAUCACUCAAAAAACUACUCUUAUUUGAAAUAGAAAGAAACCACAUUUUCCCAGGCCAUGGAGCCAGAGGAGGAAGAUUACGAGAACAGAGAAAAGCAAAGCAAAUAAAGAAACCUAGAGACCAUGUAGCAUAGGGGCACACAAGUCUAUAUUCUUGUUGGCCUUUUGGUAUUGGUGUACCUCCCAGAACAUAGGACCUUAGUUCUUGUUUUUAAUGACGACCCCGAUGAAGAAAAGCCAGAAGUUACUUUAAGAAGCCAGGGAACUAUAUGAUCUGUCACUGUUUUAUAAUUUAGGUUAAAAUCAGAGGAACCCUCUUCAAUUUUAUGUGGUACAUUCACUUACGUAAAUGUCACUUUCCCCAUAGGCCCUAGACCAUUAGGAGGUUGUGUAGCAUGAUGCAUUCAUACCUCUUCAUUGUAUCAAAACGAAACCACUCAACAUAGAUUUCAGGAUACCCAUCCGCCUAUCUGUACUCGUGCCUAUUUCUCUGACUUGUGCGUAUGCCUCAGAUGUACCUUGCUUACUUGUGCCUCUGCUUAGAUUAUUCCCUACUAAGUGGCAAUCCACAGGUUUUCUGCCCCUAAAGAUCUGCCUUCUCCAAGUAGCCUUUCUUGAUAAGAUCUGGGGAAGUCUUCGAUUUCUCCCCUAUUUAUUUUCGUUUUCUCAUGGUUCCCACAUAGGUAUGUCCUUGCUCUACUUGUGAAUUCGGUUCCUCAAUAAAAAGUUGUCCGUUUAGAGAAGAUGUAAAUACUGUUUUAGCUAAUAAGAGAUCAAAAGGAAGGAACAGGUGGCUUUUUUGUUAGCUAUCUUUCUCUUCAUUCUGUUGAGUUAUGGAUGUGCUGAACUGAGUUAUCACUAUAAGAAGAAAUCUGCAGAUUAGAUAUUCAAGGGAAUCUCUUUGGAGCAAGUCUCCACUUGUAUGAAAGAACCCUACAUAAAUUUUUCAAUUUAAAUAGAUUUUAAGGUACUGAUAAGACAACACAUUUUUUUAUUUUAGUACCUGAGAGUGAGUAUACAUUCAAAAUUUUUUUAUGGGGGUAAAAAAAUUUUUCAACCUUUUCUUACUAGAGUCUUACACAUUUAUUUUGCACUUCAACUGUCAAGAACAUCCAACCCCUGAUUCUCUAGCAUACCUGUUUGAUAGGCAUCAUUAUUUAGAUGGAAAAGCUCUUCCCCAAAGGAAGCUGGUUUAAAGAUAAGCAAGACAAAUGUCUGUUAUAUGAAUCACAUUAACAGCCAGCAAUUUUAGUGCUUGACCUGGGAAUACAUGGGCAAGGACAGUAUUUCACAUCCACUUUAAUUUCAAACAAAAAUAAUUUAUUUUAAGGAAACAAUUCUUCGCAUUGUUCAAAACAUUAAUCAAGCCAUUAUCUCAGAAGACUUAAUUUUCUUUACAAAGGAAAAUUUCCAAUUUGGUUCAAAAAAUAAAGGCAAACCCCAGUAAGCAACAUUAGAGAGGAGACGUAAUACACAGGCCUACGCAGCCACAUGAGAAGGAGUUCCUGCUGCUUCGUUAUUACACAGGUAGUUGCUUCCUUCAGCUAAAGCCUGAGCCCGGUAUUUGUUUUAUGCAUAUUGGGUUUUGUUCUAUUACUUGGCAAGAGAUUGUACUCCCUUGAGUCAGCUGUGUUCAUUGGUCAGAAUAAAUUCUAGCAUCUGCCACCAAUUCCAUUAAUCAAAGACAAGCCUGAAUAAGAAAGAUAAUAGAAAGACAAAAAUAUCUGGUGAGCAAUGAGCAUUGUUUAUGUAUGUACGCUACUCAGUAAUAGAGUAGAAGAGAUCUGAGAUACUGAGUUCAAGAGACAGGAAACUGUCUCUCAAAAAGGAUAAAGGCCCCCUACAUGAAACCUUCAUCCCCAGGCCAAAAGUGUAUGAAACAAGUAACACGUUAUAUUAUUCAUAUUCUUAAUACCUCCACCCUGAAGUUUAGAUUUCCCCCAAAAUUUCCAUGUGAAGCCAUUUUUGUUAUUUCCUUACUUGUUUAUAAAUGAUAGGCCACCUAGAACCAAAGUUUUGGGACAUUUCAUGACUGUACUGUAUCAAGAUGGUACAAAAUUUGAUUUCUAGAAUUAAAGUUCCUAAUUAAUUCAAUUAAUUAAAAAUCACCUCCAUGAGUAAAAUGUUCCAUUUCAAUACAAAGCCUGAUACUUGCAAGCUGUUGUAUAAGCAGCCGUAGUCCCUCUGGAGAAGAUGGCUUUACACAGUUACACACACAGAUUUGGAUUUUCAUUGUGGACCACUGAAGGGACAGAUUAGAGUGAAAUCUUUGUCAGUUUUUCUACUUCUAAUUGGAUGUAUAGGUUUAUAAUAAUUUACUCACACAACACAUAGUUCUGCAAUGAUUUCAUCAUAAUUUUCGAUUAUGACUUGAAGGAUGUACUGGGACUGGCUUCAGUGAUCAGGUUAUUUUGAGUCUUAGAAAUCUAAUUGCAAUUCUACACCUACUGACACACAAUACUGUGAGUAAGAAGCGAUUUAAAAUUUUUAACACAAUGGCACAUAGAAAUGGAAUAACCUAGAUACUGUUACUCCACUGUAAUAUUUUUCCUAUCUUUAUGUAUCGUAAGGUCAAGAGAAAUAUAACCUAUUCACAUUGCCUUUUACUUUCAGGCAAUUUGAAGCAACUGACAUGGUUUUAAUUCCAUAUACCUCCUUGAUUAUUAUCAUAUAAAUGAAUAUAUUUAGGCAUAUCACACACUUUGUAAAGCCAAUCUAGAAACGUCCAAUUCCAUUCUUUAUCGGAGAGGCUGAAAUUCACAACUGUAAUCGAAGGUGAAAAAAAACAGUCUUUUUGAAAUACUUUAAUUUAUUAGUAACAUAUAUCUGAUUCUUUGCCAGAAUGUGGAGCUGGAGGGUAUCCAAAAUUCAUUACAUAAUUAUGGUACAGUGUGUGCAAAUGUAUAUAUAUACUGAAAAACUGCAAAAUUAUAAUCAAAAUCCACUUUUACUCUUAAAUAAUUUCUCGGGGGAACCACUGAGGGCGAUACAGCAUCCUUUUGGCCAGAUAACACAUCUCUCCAGAAUUAAUUCUUAUAAAGGCAGUUCUGAUUAUGCUGAUCCAAGCAGUGCAAUGGUGGCAGGUUGGGUAAAGGCAAAACUUUGCUUCUAGUUUCUCCAAACGCUGUCUCACUUGAUUUAGGAGGGCUUGGGAACACCCAAGAAUUAUCUUCCGGAGAAUUUCUGCCACAGGAGUUGUCUUCCUGAAAGUCUGCGCCAUCACCAGGCACAGUUCUCUCAUUAUUUGUCCACGAUUGGAGAACUGCUUUCUCUGAUAAAACCUUUGUAUCUCCUGGGAAAGGAGGAGAUGUGGUGUGAGAAAGGGCUUUGCCAUUUGGUGAGAGAGGGGGAUGUCUUUUGUACGUUGCAGUAAAAUUCGUCAAAUGCAGUUUUGUGCUGUCUCUCCCAAGGUCUUCAACACAUCCUACUGGGGCAGAGGCUAGAAGGAAAGCACAGGCUAGAUGUUAAUUUUCAAGCCAUCUGUGAGCGUACAACACGUAACACUUCAUUAGUUUGGAGGAUGACUGAAGCACUGUGACCUGGAAGUAGACAAUCUGAGCUCUAAUCAUGGGUCAGCUCUUUACUCACAUUGUGACUUUAGUUUGUUUUUCUGAGGAUCAACUGUUCUGAAUAUAAAUAGAUGGAAAAUUAACGAAUGCAAAAAGUCUAAAAGGCCCACAGAGUCUGGAAUUGACCCUGGAACCCUGACCUCACUUAAUACCAGAUACUGAUCAACUGAGUUCAUUAACUAAACACUUAAAAAAAACAAAACAAAACAAAACUAUUAUGUCAAUGACAGAUGCUAUUAUACAAUUCAGAAGACACUAAAAUAAUGUUUUACAGAAAGUAAAGCAAGACUGGUAAGGUGAACACAAACCUCUCCCCUUGGCCUGCUCUGAUUCCCGUAUCUAAGAGGGCUGGGUCAGCAUCACCACUGAAACAGGCCUGGAAGUACACAUCCCGUGGUGUCGAGACGUCAACUUGGAGCCACUCAUACACCGAAAUAAAGCACUUCUAGUUCGUUUGUCUGUCUCAGUUGUGACUCCUGUUUUAGUUCACAUCUCCCCCCUACCCCAAAAAUAAACUGUAAAAUUGGGGACCAUGUUUUAAUCUUUUUUAAUAUUCCCUCUUUAUCUUCAGCCCUUAAAGUUACGUAGUCUCUCAUGCACAAUUUCAUCAUCAGUAAAAGUGAUUUUUCUAAAAUUUCUUCUGUUUCUGUGAUUUAUGAUCAUGAAUAAAACUAAAAGCAAAGUGUAUUCCCUAGCACCAUCUAGUGGAAAAGAGUAACUACUAAGAACUGAAACUAGAACCAAAUUCACCUGGGGAUCUUGUUAAAAUGUAGAUUCUGAUUCAGUAUAUUGAGUGGAAAUUCUCGGCAGGGGCUCAAGCCAAAACAAACUGGUCAGAAGCCCUGGUUACAAUAAGUAAACACUAAGGUUUUUUUUAAGCAACCUAUUAUUCUAGAAUCAUGUUAAAAGUAUAGAGUAUAUCAAAUUUUAGCAGAAAUGAUUAAAAGGGAAGCUAAACACAGACUGUUCAGAGAAUAAGAACAUUCCCUUUCUAGGUAGUUACCAUUCAUGUCAACUCUGCAGUUCAAUACCAAACCAAAUCCACUGCCAUCGAGUGGAUCCGACUCACAGCAACCUCAAGGACAGAGGAGAAGCACCCCAUAGGGUUUCCAGGGCUGUAGUCUUUAGGGAAGCAGACUGCCGCAUCCUUCUCCCACUGAGCAGCUGGCGGGUUGAAACUGCCAACCUCACAUUUUAUCAGCCAAGUGCUUUAACCACUGUGCCAUCAAAGCUCCUUACAUUUUAAUACCUAAUUAUAAAUCCUACACACAGAGUACUGAAUUUCUCAAUUUAGUAAUUCUUUAGUACCGUUUGUUUGGAUUUUUGCAGCUCCCUUUUGAGAUCGCUACAUUCUUUCUUCACCAGUUCCAGCUCUUGUUCCAAACCAUGGAUCUUCAGGUCACAGCUCAACUUCUCCACCUCCCAGUUCGAUGACGGUGGAUUUAAAUUCCUCAUCACUACAAAAAGGACAGGCGUCAAAACUGUUACCUCUGCUUUCUACAUUGGCUGCAAUCCCAAGAAGGUUAUGCUGCUGAAGAUAAAAGAAAUGCUAAUAUGAAAUGUAUAAUAAUUAAUAAUUGAAAAAAAGUAAUGACUUUCAAAGAUCUAUGCUAGUAAGAAAUCUAGUAAUUUUGGUUUAGAAUGUAUUAUUCACUCCCACCCCCCAUUUUCUGUUUAGGUUAAAGUACAAAUUUGCCAGUCUGGAAUUUUAGAAGAUGCUACAGUAAUCAAGCAUAUGCUAGAAUUGUACACAGAUCAAUAAUCUCCUAUUUUGCAUGAUAAAAAUAAUAAACUGAUGCACACUCAGCUAAUCUCUUCACUUAGUCCCUUCAGGGAGUAUAAAGUUUGACCAUCAGGCCCGGAACACUGAAUGGCAUGAUGCCAAAACAAUUUUAUCAUCAACAUUUCAAAGUAGAAAACUCAAUACAAGUGGAUACUGCUUUAUUCUUGACCCUGAACACGGUACCUUUGUCUCUGUAUUUAGAAACACCCCCAACCAGCUGUCCUGAGAUUUCCACUCCCAUCAGCAGGUCUCCUAAAGGCCCCUGCGUCAGUGUUCAUGGGUACAGGCUAACAGUGGUAUCCCUCAGACCUGACUUUCCACCCCAACAUCUCAUCUGCACAUUUUCACGACCUUCAGAAAGGAAAAAUAUAAAUAAGCAAUUGUGACUAUUCCAUGACAGUGUAGACAAAGGCUGUGCAGAAAGGAAAAGCCAGGGCAAGAGGACUGGAUGAGGGUGGGGGAUUACUCCUCUCCUCUACGUCAUCACAAACCAGCCCUGAAGAAAAAUCCUUGUAUUUUCUCUUGGAAAUGCACAAUUUAUAAGUUAAAAUGAGCUGAUACGUUAUGAAAGCAGAACAGAGAAAUUAACAUAAGCCUAAAAAUUAAAAAAUAAGGCCUAAAUACAGAUGUAGAAAGUUGGUAAUGGAGGUAACACAUAAAUGGACAAAUGCAUUAAUUCUGUAAGAAUAUUCAGAACAAGUAAGUGGCAUACCCUGCUGAGUUUCCACCUCUGUCCUUAGCUGGAGAAGCUCUACUUCUUUAGAUUGUAGCUGCUCAUUCAAUACUUUCAAAGAUUCAGAGUUGUCUUUAUUCUAGUUAAGUAGGGAAAAUGCCAAAUUACAUUCAAUAAAAUCAGUAAGUUGGUAUUCUAUCUUCGUUUUCGGGUCGAUACUGGAAAAAACUCAUUCUAGCCUUUAAAAGCAAGAUGGGAAAAUAAACGUAGCUCUCAUCAAUCUUUUUUCCUUUCUUUUUCUGACUUAGGGCAUAUUUCGUUCAACAGCUUUUUUUCUUUUUAACAUAAUGAAUUAUCCCACCAUCUCAGGGUUUUUCAACAGAAGUCGGCAGUGCCAGAUGUAUUUAAGGCCCACGCGUCAUUACGUAAUAUCUAUUUUGUAUAGAAAUAAUUUAUAAAUAUUAUAAAAAAUUCUAUUUUUGCCCUGAGCAUCUGUGAUUUUAUAAACGUAAAUAUUUAACCUCUUUGAACCUUAAACUUCUCGAAGGAGAAAACUCAUCUGCAGUCUGUAGAUAAUGUUCUUUUUAAACCAACUUACCAUUUUAUCCAAUUUGCUCUUCAGAUUGUCUCUAUCAAUGCAGACCUCUCGAUACGCAUGGUAGGCCUUAUUUACUUGUUCUCGUCCCACAGAACUUUCGUCAUCUAAUCGAGCCCCUAUAAGCUAAUGGCAAAAAAUUAGCAGACGAAGGAUAUUAUUAAAAGGGGAUUUUGAAUAAAAAAUAAGUCAGUCUUCUGAUGGGUCCGCAUCUAACUUUAAUCAUGUAAUGCGGGUGGCACAAGCAGCCUGCAGCUGGCCACUAACCUAAAGGCUGGUGGUGGGAACCCAGGCAGCAGCUCCACAGAAGACCUGGCAACCCGCUUCUGUUAAGAAAACCUCCUGGAGCAGUUCUACUCAGUAACACAUGGGGUUGUCAUGAGUCAGGGGUCAACCUGAUGGCUGCUAACAGCAGCAUAGUAAAGUGAACAUUUCACUUCCGUAUAAUUAUACUGAUUAAGAAAGCAUAAAAAAAAGAGAGAAUUUUUUAGAAGCCUUCUAUACCAUGUUUUAUAACCUGUUGAUUCAUCGCAGUAUUUCACAACACAUUAUCCUUCUGAAGUUCUUAAGCAUCUCUGAAGCUGUUAGUAUCAAAUGCCCGUCAUCAGAAGAGUAGCCAGUUAAGGUAGAGUUGACUUUUUAAGGAAUACGUGUGUUAGUUCAUUAAAUCCUGCAUUAUUCCAGAAUAGGACUGAACAGGAUUAUUCGGUCACAAAGUACAGAAAUAUUUCCCAUAGUAACUGUAUACCAAAUCACAUUUUUCCUACCAAAUUUCAAAUAACGUACAUAGCUAUGAGCGCCGAAAUGUUAAUUCUCUCAUUCUAUCCCAGUAUGUCACAAACGUAUUUAAUUACCAUUGAAGCAAAGAAUGAAUUCAUAUGAAUGCAAAGAAAUUAUGGUUAUUUUUACAACCGACUCCCCUCUAGCCCCAGCAAGCCCCAUCCCCAAGCUUCUGUGACAGAAGAACUCAUUCUCUUGGCUGCUAAGAAUCCACUUCUUUCACCCUUGUGGAAGCUGCUCUUUAUAAAAUAGAGACGCACUGAUCUGACCUGAAGAAAUACACACUAAGGUAAGGAAAAACUUCAAAACUCAAAAGUAAACGGGGAAGCGGGGACCAUUUCUCAAGACGUGAGGCCAAGAAGAUCUUGCGAUUAAAUCAGCCACCUUGUUUAUAAAGGAGCAACAGUUAAGCACUUGGCUGCUCACAGAAGGUUGGCAGUUCGAACCCAUUCGGUGGCUCUGCAGGAGAAGGCCUGGUAAUCCGCUCCUGUAAAGAUCAGAGCCUAGAAAACCCUCUAGAGCAGUUCCGCUCUGUCACAUGCUGUCGCUAUGAGUCAAAAUUCAACUCAGGGGCACAUAGCGCUUACAACACCACCUUGUUUGUACGUUCUGAAACAUUUAGAAAUGUCAAGAUUCUGCAUAAAAAGGUAAACACUGGACAUUAAUUCAUCAGUUAAAAAAGCAGUAUUCAUAUAUGGGUAUUCAAGAGCAAAAGAAAACACUGAGGUAAAGAAGAUGAAAGUCCUGCUGUAACUUCAGUCUUGAUGAAGAAAUUGAUAUUAAACAUUACUAAAACAAUACUCAGAAAAGCCUCUUUUGGCUUUUCAUUUCCUUUGUUGCUAUGUCAUUUACUUUUGCACGGAUUUUAAAAUUCUGAAUACAAUACAUACAGCUAUGAAUGUUAAGGCGAUCUGAAAAAAGGAAGGAAAAUAUUUGGAAUAUACCCCUUCCAAGUUAUUCAAUCCUACCCCACAAAUAUUCCCCAAUCACAUGGUAUGUGAGUGACACUGUGACUAAGUACAAUGCCCAAGGUUUGGAAAUUAGCAGUGAAAGAUGCUUGGAAAUUUGGUUUAACUAUGGAAGAGAGGAUAGAAAAAUAUAAAAAAUUUCUAAUAUUGUGAAUCAUCCUUUAUCUCAUAAAACAUAAUGAGGGUAAAAGAAUUACCUUUUCUUCCAAAAGUCUUACUCUUUUCUUUAACAGAGAGUUCUCUUUCUCUGAAUCCUUUAGUCGUUUCUUGAUGUCUUCAUACGCAGUGACCAGGGCGAAAUGGGAGGCAACAGACUCAUCUCCUGAAUAUACUGAGGCUGGAGUCACUAGGUCUCUCCUGUGGGCUUUUUCAUGAUUCAAAAUGCAGAUAUCAUCUUCCACCAGUGUAUCCAUGACAGCUAGUUCAAAGAAAAACACAGGGAACAGAAAUGUCUCACUGAAGAAAUGAGCAACAACAAAAAAAGAUGUAUUUAGAGUAAUGUGAGUAUCGGGGCAAUGUUUAAAAACUCUGAUUUUUUAGAGGCAGUAUAGCAUAGUAGCUAAGAGCAUGGACUCCGGCACCAGACUGCCUGGAUUUUCUAAUCCAAGUUCUACCACUACCCUGUCUGAUAGCGUCACUAUGACUCAGAAUGAACUGGACGGCAACGGGUUGGUUUGUUUGUUUUUUAAUAAUUAAGGAGCUCUAGUGGUGCAACGCUUAAGUGCUCGGCUGCUAACGGAAAGGUUAGCAGUUGGAAUUCAGCAAAGGCUCCACAGGAGAAAGGGCUUGGCGAUCUGCUCCUGUGAAGGUUUCAGCCGAAGGAUACCCUAAGGGGCAGUCCUACUCGGUCUGAUAGGGUCACUGUGAAUCAGAACUGACUUGACAGCACGUAACAACAGUAACAUUACCUAUACUUACAGUCACCCAUUUAUUAUAACCAGAAAGGAUACAAGUGAAGAGACAUGAGGCGAGGUCUGAGAGCGUUCCUGGCACAGGGGCCUCCGUUGUCUCCAGGGACAUGCCACCCUCUCUAGUUCAAGGAUUUUCUCACCAAUCUAGGGAAUAUGCAUGAUGGAGCCUUAAUACAAAGUUAUGUUCGAUCAAUGAAUAUGAAUGACUGCAUCAUGCCCCUCCCUUCCUGAGGCCUGCUGCCAGAGUGGGGCCUGUGUAGCCCCCUACUUAUUCACACAUUUAAAU